rnacentral:lncRNA from 1 species
CGGCCUCCUCCGUGCCCCGGGCGCUGCGCUGUGGUCGCUGGGGCUCUUCCAACGCGGAAACUCGGGGCGAGGCCGCGGAGAGGCGUCCCCACACAGCGGCAGGCCCGGGCCGGCAGCCCUGGGAGCUCCUGGCGUCCAGCUGAGGCUCCCCCCACCUCCGGUCUGCAGAUGGGGAAAUUGAGGCCCAGCCAGGAGCAGGGGCGCGAUCGACGUCACACAGAAAAAUUAGAGGCGGCCACGCACCCACCCGGCUGGGCCUGCCGACGCCGAGGCCUGCCCUGCCCCUCUGCACAUCACUGGCGUCCCAAAUCCCACCAGGAGCGGGGGUCCUGCCCAGCCUCCUGCUGGGCCCACCCUCGGGGGAGGUGACCCUCCCCCGGCUCCCAGGGCCCCCUGAGCGCCCGAUGAGCUCUCGUGGGGCUGGUGUUCCAGGGCAGAGUCAGCUCUUAGUGUCCCUGCCUCCACCUGGGAGGUCCGGGUCCUGCUGGGUCCUGCUGGGUCCUGUGGCCCCUCCGCCCCCCAGCGCAGGGCCUGCGAGAGAAACGAGAGCAAGGAUGAGCCGUAUGUGUUACCACGUGCCUGGCACACAGAGGAGCCCCAUAAAUAUUUGUUUAAUGAGUGCAUGCUGCCCACUUUGCCUCCAGGACAUUUUCCCAAUCUGCUGUCUCACCAGCAUCACUUAAGAACUUUCAUUCCCUGAACCCUCACUGGUACUUGUAACCUUUUAUAAGUACUUUCUUUAAUCUUUUCAUAAGCUUUUCCAAUCUAAUAGCUGGAAAUUUUAUCUCAAUUUGCAUGCUUUGAAAUUGAACAUUUUUCAGAGACGUAUUGGCAAUUUUAACUUCGUUUUCUGUAAUUUCUCUCCCAUGUCCUUUGCAAAUAUUUUGUUCUGUUGAUUUGUUGUCUGUAUAUUGAGUUAGAACUAUUUUGUCUGGCAUGUAUUUUUUUCCCCAGUUUGUUGUUUGCCUUUCAACUCUGCUUAAACUCUUUUUUUUUACCCACAGGAAAUUUUUAUUUUUACAUAACAAAAAUCUCCAUUAUUUUCUUUAUUUCCUGUCCUGAAGGCCCUGAUAUUAGCCCUGAGUAACUGCUGCCAAUCCUCCUCUUUUUGCCGAGGAAGACUGGCCCGGAGCUAACAUCCAUGCCCAUCUUCCUCUACUUUAUACAUGGGACGCCUACCACAGCAUGGCGUGCCAAGCGGUGCCAUGUCCACACCUGGGAUCCGAACCGGCAAACCCCGGGCCACCGAAGUGGAAUGUACACACUUAACCGCUGCACCACUGGGCCAUCCCCUACCUUAAGAUUCUUAAUCUAUCUCAAGCUUAUUUUGUUGUAAGAAGAGAGACCUGGGUCUAAUGUCAUGUCAUUUUUCAAAAUAGUUACCACUUGCUCCAUCC